AGAGUUUGAUCAUGGCUCAGAUUGAACGCUGGCGGCAGGCCUAACACAUGCAAGUCGAACGGUAACAGGAAGAAGCUUGCUUCUUUGCUGACGAGUGGCGGACGGGUGAGUAAUGUCUGGGAAACUGCCUGAUGGAGGGGGAUAACUACUGGAAACGGUAGCUAAUACCGCAUAACGUCGCAAGACCAAAGAGGGGGACCUUCGGGCCUCUUGCCAUCGGAUGUGCCCAGAUGGGAUUAGCUAGUAGGUGGGGUAACGGCUCACCUAGGCGACGAUCCCUAGCUGGUCUGAGAGAAUGACCAGCCACACUGGAACUGAGACACGGUCCAGACUCCUACGAGGCAGCAGUGGGGAAUAUUGCACAAUGGGCGCAAGCCUGAUGCAGCCAUGCCGCGUGUAUGAAGAAGGCCUUCGGGUUGUAAAGUACUUUCAGCGGGGAGGAAGGGAGUAAAGUUAAUACCUUUGCUCAUUGACGUUACCCGCAGAAGAAGCACCGGCUAACUCCGUGCCAGCAGCCGCGGUAAUACGGAGGGUGCAAGCGUUAAUCGGAAUUACUGGGCGUAAAGCGCACGCAGGCGGUUUGUUAAGUCAGAUGUGAAAUCCCCGGGCUCAACCUGGGAACUGCAUCUGAUACUGGCAAGCUUGAGUCUCGUAGAGGGGGGUAGAAUUCCAGGUGUAGCGGUGAAAUGCGUAGAGAUCUGGAGGAAUACCGGUGGCGAAGGCGGCCCCCUGGACGAAGACUGACGCUCAGGUGCGAAAGCGUGGGGAGCAAACAGGAUUAGAUACCCUGGUAGUCCACGCCGUAAACGAUGUCGACUUGGAGGUUGUGCCCUUGAGGCGUGGCUUCCGGAGCUAACGCGUUAAGUCGACCGCCUGGGGAGUACGGCCGCAAGGUUAAAACUCAAAUGAAUUGACGCGGGCCCGCACAAGCGGUGGAGCAUGUGGUUUAAUUCGAUGCAACGCGAAGAACCUUACCUGGUCUUGACAUCCACGGAAGUUUUCAGAGAUGAGAAUGUGCCUUCGGGAACCGUGAGACAGGUGCUGCAUGGCUGUCGUCAGCUCGUGUUGUGAAAUGUUGGGUUAAGUCCCGCAACGAGCGCAACCCUUAUCCUUUGUUGCCAGCGGUCCGGCCGGGAACUCAAAGGAGACUGCCAGUGAUAAACUGGAGGAAGGUGGGGAUGACGUCAAGUCAUCAUGGCCCUUACGACCAGGGCUACACACGUGCUACAAUGGCGCAUACAAAGAGAAGCGACCUCGCUAGAGCAAGCGGACCUCAUAAAGUGCGUCGUAGUCCGGAUUGGAGUCUGCAACUCGACUCCAUGAAGUCGGAAUCGCUAGUAAUCGUGGAUCAGAAUGCCACGGUGAAUACGUUCCCGGGCCUUGUACACACCGCCCGUCACACCAUGGGAGUGGGUUGCAAAAGAAGUAGGUAGCUUAACCUUCGGGAGGGCGCUUACCACUUUGUGAUUCAUGACUGGGGUGGAGUCGUAACAAGGUAACCGUAGGGGAACCUGCGGUUG
rnacentral:rRNA from 1 species